GCCUAACACAUGCAAGUCGAACGGCAGCACGGGAGCUUGCUCCUGGUGGCGAGUGGCGAACGGGUGAGUAAUGUAUCGGAACGUACCCCGUCGUGGGGGAUAACUCUCCGAAAGGAGAGCUAAUACCGCAUACGACCCGAGGGUGAAAGCGGGGGACCCGGGGUAACCUGGGCCUCGCGCGAUGGGAGCGGCCGAUAUCGGAUUAGCUAGUUGGUGGGGUAAGGGCCUACCAAGGCGACGAUCCGUAGCGGGUCUGAGAGGACGACCCGCCACACUGGAACUGAGACACGGUCCAGACUCCUACGGGAGGCAGCAGUGGGGAAUUUUGGACAAUGGGCGCAAGCCUGAUCCAGCCAUUCCGCGUGAGUGAAGAAGGCCUUCGGGUUGUAAAGCUCUUUCAGCGGGAACGAAACGGUGGGUCUUAAUACGGCCUGCUAAUGACGGUACCUGCAGAAGAAGCACCGGCUAACUACGUGCCAGCAGCCGCGGUAAUACGUAGGGUGCGAGCGUUAAUCGGAAUUACUGGGCGUAAAGCGUGCGCAGGCGGCGACAUAAGACAGAUGUGAAAUCCCCGGGCUCAACCUGGGAACGGCGUUUGUGACUGUGUGGCUAGAGUGUAGCAGAGGGGGGUGGAAUUCCACGUGUAGCAGUGAAAUGCGUAGAGAUGUGGAGGAACACCGAUGGCGAAGGCAGCCCCCUGGGUUAACACUGACGCUCAUGCACGAAAGCGUGGGGAGCAAACAGGAUUAGAUACCCUGGUAGUCCACGCCCUAAACGAUGCCAACUAGGUGUUGGGGGGAGGAGACUUCCUUAGUACCGUAGCUAACGCGUGAAGUUGGCCGCCUGGGGAGUACGGUCGCAAGAUUAAAACUCAAAGGAAUUGACGGGGACCCGCACAAGCGGUGGAUGAUGUGGAUUAAUUCGAUGCAACGCGAAAAACCUUACCUACCCUUGACAUGUCCGGAAUCCCGAAGAGACUUGGGAGUGCUCGAAAGAGAGCCGGAACACAGGUGCUGCAUGGCUGUCGUCAGCUCGUGUCGUGAGAUGUUGGGUUAAGUCCCGCAACGAGCGCAACCCUUAUCAUUAGUUGCCAUCAUUGAGUUGGGCACACUAAUGAGACUGCCGGUGACAAACCGGAGGAAGGUGGGGAUGACGUCAAGUCCUCAUGGCCCUUAUGGGUAGGGCUUCACACGUCAUACAAUGGUCGGUACAGAGGGUUGCCAACCCGCGAGGGGGAGCUAAUCUCACAAAGCCGAUCGUAGUCCGGAUCGCAGUCUGCAACUCGACUGCGUGAAGUCGGAAUCGCUAGUAAUCGUGGAUCAGCAUGUCACGGUGAAUACGUUCCCGGGCCUUGUACACACCGCCC
rnacentral:rRNA from 1 species